AGUGAACGCUGGCGGUAGGCCUAACACAUGCAAGUCGAACGGCAGCACAGUAAGAGCUUGCUCUUACGGGUGGCGAGUGGCGGACGGGUGAGGAAUACAUCGGAAUCUACUUUUUCGUGGGGGAUAACGUAGGGAAACUUACGCUAAUACCGCAUACGACCUACGGGUGAAAGCAGGGGAUCUUCGGACCUUGCGCGGAUGAAUGAGCCGAUGUCGGAUUAGCUAGUUGGCGGGGUAAAGGCCCACCAAGGCGACGAUCCGUAGCUGGUCUGAGUGGAUGAUCAGCCACACUGGAACUGAGACACGGUCCAGACUCCUACGGGAGGCAGCAGUGGGGAAUAUUGGACAAUGGGCGCAAGCCUGAUCCAGCCAUACCGCGUGGGUGAAGAAGGUCUUCGGGUUGUAAAGCCCUUUUGUUGGGAAAGAAAAGCAGCAGGUUAAUACCCCGCUGUUCUGACGGUACCCAAAGAAUAAGCACCGGCUAACUUCGUG
rnacentral:rRNA from 1 species